UACGUAGGGGGCAAGCGUUGUCCGGAUUUAUUGGGCGUAAAGAGCGUGUAGGCGGCCAGGUAGGUCUGCUGUGAAAACUCGAGGCUUAACCUCGAGCUGUCGGCGGAAACCAUCUGGCUAGAGUCCGGAAGAGGAGAAUGGAAUUCCCGGUGUAGCGGUGAAAUGCGUAGAUAUCUGGAGGAACACCGGUGGCGAAGGCGGCAUCCUGGACCGACAUUGACGCUGAGGAGCGAAAGCUAGGGGAGCAAACGGG
rnacentral:rRNA from 1 species